GAUGAAGAACGUAGCGAAAUGCGAUGCGUAAUGUGAAUUGCAGAAUUCAGUGAAUCAUCGAGUCUUUGAACGCACAUUGCGCCCCCUGGUAUUCCGGGGGGCAUGCCUGUCCGAGCGUCAUUGCUGCCCUCAAGCCCGGCUUGUGUGUUGGGUCUCGUCCCCCUUCCCGGGGGGACGGGCCCGAAAGGCAGCGGCGGCACCGCGUCCGGUCCUCGAGCGUAUGGGGCUUUGUCACCCGCUCUGUAGGCCCGGCCGGCGCUUGCCGAUCAACCAAAACUUUUUUCCAGGUUGACCUCGGAUCAGGUAGGGAUACCCGCUGAACUUAAGCAUAUCAAUAAGCGGAGGA
rnacentral:misc_RNA from 1 species